GCUUUAUUUUCCCUUCUAGGAGCAGACAGAUUGUGCCCACCACACAGAGAACCCAAAGCCAUCUCUGUUGGCAGGGCAGAGCAGGAGGUGAUGGCCCUGCUGCAGCAGUCAGCAGGACCCUCCCACCCCGUUCUUGCCAUUAGGCUGGCUGAGGAUGCCCAUUGCAAACCUGGCAGCGGGAACACUUCUCAAGCGGUUUUGAACAGUGUAACAAUUUGUGACUUGUCUUACUCAUACAAGUAAAUGCUUGAGGUUUACCUACCUCAAUAGAAAACUGAGUCAUGUAUUUUGGUUUUUGUCAAGAUUACAGGCAACUUGUAAUUUAGAGAUUUCAUACAGAUUGGCAGACCCUUCCCCAAAAUUCCCAUCUCCACCUUGCUGUACAGACAGACACCGCUGCCAUUUUGUAUCAAUUCCAGCUGAUUCAAGUCAGUGCUGAUCCAAUGCUAUCUUCUUUUCCUAAUCUUGGCUGUUCACCUUUAUUUCUUCCUUGUGCCAGCACCAAGAGGUACUUGACUGCUGAAGGAGACAGCUAACUGGCAGUCCAGUGAAAAAGAAAUUCUGACAAAACCUGAAAAGCUCUAGGGCACUGGUGACCCAGCUAAAGUCACACAGGCCUUCUGUUGGAAAGUAAUGGCUGUGGAGUGAGAUGGGAAACUCAGGAAUGGACAUGGAGAAAGCUGUGGACUGCAUGAAUGGUACCACCAUGAGAGAAACAUAAGUGUACAAUCACAACCAAAAUCAUCAUUCCAUUGUGGGUGUCAAGAGACAGUUUGGGAAAUUCAGACUUGUCCUCCCUUAUACACAGAACAUCUCUAGCUCACAGAAAAUUUGUACAAUUUUUCAAGAACAUCCUGUGGAAUUAAAACAGUGACUCAUACACAUGCUUGGCUAUCAUAUAUAUAUAUAUGUAUGUAUGUAUGUAUGUAUGUAUGUAUAUGUAUAAACAAUGCUAUCAAAAGACAGUGGGAGAAAUUACUGAUUUAGGUGCUUUCCUGUAAAAUAAAUUAGCAAAAUACUUUUAUUAGGAAUAUUUACAGCAAAACACACUGCUGCCACCUACUUGUACCACACAGUAUCUCUUAAAUUACCAGGUUUCUUUUAACUUUUGAUAAUGUUAUGCUAGUUUCACUUCCAGUUGUUCCCAGUUCUUUGUCAGCCUGCAUUAUUGACUGAUAUGAAAACUUCCCAGUUUUGAGGAACUGUAUAGUGAUGAAUCACUCUGGGUGACAUACAGCUUUAAAAGAAGGAAAAGAGAAGUGGCUAUUUCUGUGCAAUUCUGUGUAUCUUGUUUUCUCAUGCUACAAACUGGAUGUUAAUGUUUAAAAAGGAGCAAGAGUUCAUGUUCUGAAUCUCUGCUCUCAGAUCAUGCUCCUUCAUUUAGAGAAAUUAUGUUAGCCCAUUUGAAACAAAAGCUAAUCAAAGUUCUGUCACAUGGUACAAGCUAGCUGAGAGCUGUGAAAGAGGUUGCUGAGGUACUGGCACUGAUGUACACAUAUGGUCAACGUAAGUGUGUCAGCCUUCAGGAUGCUCUUCCUUCCCCUGACUGCCAUAAACAAUGUUUUUGAUUUCUAGAUUACUGUCUGUGCGUGUGGGAAGAUGUCAUAGCUGUCCUGAUUCCCACUUUUUAAAGCUUAGCACUCAAUAAAGUACAUCUUCUGUUAAACA